AGGGACUUAGGCUAAACUUCAAACCAAGGGCCUUCAAAGCCCUAAAUAAGAGACACUCCCUCUUAGUCCCUG
rnacentral:tRNA from 1 species